AUUGAACGCUGGCGGCAUGCCUUACACAUGCAAGUCGAACGGCAGCACGGGAGCAAUCCUGGUGGCGAGUGGCGAACGGGUGAGUAAUAUAUCGGAACGUGCCCAGUCGUGGGGGAUAACGCAGCGAAAGCUGUGCUAAUACCGCAUACGAUCUACGGAUGAAAGCGGGGGAUAGCAAGACCUCGCGCGAUUGGAGCGGCCGAUAUCAGAUUAGCUAGUUGGUGAGGUAAAGGCUCACCGAGGCGACGAUCUGUAGCUGGUCUGAGAGGACGACAAGCCACACUGGAACUGAGACACGGUCCAGACUCCUACGGGAGGCAGCAGUGGGGAAUUUUGGACAAUGGGCGCAAGCCUGAUCCAGCAAUGCCGCGUGCAGGAUGAAGGCCUUCGGGUUGUAAACUGCUUUUGUACGGAACGAAACGGCGAGCUCUAAUACAGUUUGCUAAUGACGGUACCGUAAGAAUAAGCACCGGCUAACUACGUGCCAGCCGCCGCGGUAACAC
rnacentral:rRNA from 1 species